GACAGAGGGUGCAAACGUUGUUCGGAAUUACUGGGCGUAAAGCGUGUGUAGGCGGUCUCUUAAGUCGGAUGUGAAAGCCCCGGGCUCAACCCGGGAAGUGCACUCGAAACUGGGAGGCUAGAGUACUGGAGAGGUUGGUGGAAUUCUCGGUGUAGAGGUGAAAUUCGUAGAUAUCGAGAGGAACACCGGUGGCGAAGGCGGCCAACUGGACAGAUAUUGACGCUGAGACACGAAAGCGUGGGGAGCAAACAGGA
rnacentral:rRNA from 1 species